rnacentral:rRNA from 2 species
CGGACGGGUGAGUAAUGUCUGGGAAACUGCCUGAUGGAGGGGGAUAACUACUGGAAACGGUAGCUAAUACCGCAUAACGUCGCAAGACCAAAGAGGGGGACCUUCGGGCCUCUUGCCAUCGGAUGUGCCCAGAUAGGAUUAGCUAGUAGGUGGGGUAACGGCUCACCUAGGCGACGAUCCCUAGCUGGUCUGAGAGGAUGACCAGCCACACUGGAACUGAGACACGGUCCAG